rnacentral:rRNA from 1 species
UUGAAAGGCGCUUUCGGGUGUCGCUGAUGGAUGGACCCGCGGUGCAUUAGCUAGUUGGUGAGGUGACGGCUCACCAAGGCCACGAUGCAUAGCCGACCUGAGAGGGUGAUCGGCCACAUUGGGACUGAGACACGGCCCAAACUCCUACGGGAGGCAGCAGUAGGGAAUCUUCGGCAAUGGACGAAAGUCUGACCGAGCAACGCCGCGUGAGUGAAGAAGGUUUUCGGAUCGUAAAACUCUGUUGUUAGAGAAGAACAAGGAUGAGAGUAACUGUUCAUCCCUUGACGGUAUCUAACCAGAAAGCCACGGCUAACUACGUGCCAGCAGCCGCGGUAAUACGUAGGUGGCAAGCGUUGUCCGGAUUUAUUGGGCGUAAAGCGAGCGCAGGCGGUUUCUUAAGUCUGAUGUGAAAGCCCCCGGCUCAACCGGGGAGGGUCAUUGGAAACUGGGAGACUUGAGUGCAGAAGAGGAGAGUGGAAUUCCAUGUGUAGCGGUGAAAUGCGUAGAUAUAUGGAGGAACACCAGUGGCGAAGGCGGCUCU